AAACUAGUGAGUAUAUUUGUUUCGCCUCUGCACAUGGUUGUUGCCGGUGGGCAUGGUGGGUGGGCAUGGCUCCUUUCUGCAACUCAAGGUAGGCGCACAAAAUCGUCCUUCCCGUGGAAAUUUUACUCAAUCAAGUAUAUAAUAAUUAGUCAUAUUCCAGAUCCUUGAAAAUGAUCUAUUGUGGAGCAGUCAAAGCAUGUUAAUUGCAAUAUCGACUUGUUUGCUUUAUAUGAUUAUAUAUUGCAAUAUCCGUUCUGUUAAAUCUAUUGUGAGCAGUCAAAGCAUGUUACUGCAAUAUCGACUUGUUCGCUUUAUAUGAUUAUAUAUUGCAAUAUUGUUCUGUUAUAAUAAUUAGUCAUAUUCCAGGUCCUUGAAAAUGAUCUAUUCUGAGCAGUCAAAGCAUGUUAACUGCAAUAUCGACUUGUUCGCUUUAUAUGAUUAUAUAUUGCAAUAUCCGUUCUGUUAAAAUAGGCUUUGGAGACAUGAUUUCUGUUACGGUAUUAACUGGCUGUCAUGUUCUGUUUAGAGUUUUGAUAUUAAAGUAGUUUAUUAUCUCACUCGAUCGAGUGACUAAGAGUAAGAUUGUUUGUUAACUAGGCCUACAAUUACACUGCUUCUCUGUUCUAUAUUAUGUGUAAAAUUUCUAUGUGUUAUGUGGUGAAAGUAGGCAUCAUACAUAUUAUUGUGAUAUUGAUUGAUCAAUACCCGAAUACCGAGCUGUAUUCAUUGAUAAACCAGAUUUAGAGUUUGAUGAUAAAUUUUGCACACUUCCGAGUGGCAAAGAUUGAUCUGCACCUUCCUAUUGCCAAACUUCCAAUGUUGCAUUUGUUUUUCCUCAUGUUGUUUUGAUCUUUCAUUGCGACUUAAGUAAACGGAAGUACAACAGCUUGUGCUUUCAAAAUUAGAUAUCUGUAUUGCUCGAAGAUUUGUCAUCUUAGUCCUCUUUAAAUAGUUUAGCCAUUGUUUGUAUCUACGCCUUGCCCCGAGCAUCCAUAUUUGCCUAGCUAAUAAUUCUUUGCACUUAUAUAAAUUUGUCCUUAGGGUGAUUAACUUCGUUUUUUUUGUGAUUGUAUAUUGCAGGUCACUGGUAUAUAAGGUUUUUGCAAGUGAAUACAGUACACAUAAAUCCGAGGCUCCUGUUUCAGAACAGUUACAAGAAAACGCAAAGUGUUACUAAUGAUGUUUGUAAAUCCUCCGUGAGCCAUCUAUGUAAAUAUGUAAUUGCUGGGUCAUCUAAACAGUAGCGUGAUGCUAAUAAGCUUCAGCUGCUAUGUGAAAAUUAUACAACUAUGUAAAUAUCUUUUGUUGGGUCAUCUAAAGAGUAAUGUAAUUGUAAUAAGCUUUGGCUGCUUUGUGAAAAUUCUUUUU
rnacentral:lncRNA from 1 species